CGAUGUUCUGCUGUACGGUGUGGCGGUCUACGCUCUUGGCGUCGAUCGUCUCGUCGGCGAUCUGGUCGCCCCAGAUGAAUACCGG
rnacentral:tRNA from 2 species